UACAGAGGUCUCGAGCGUUAGGCGGAAUCACUGGGCUUAAAGCGCACGUAGGCGGCUUGUUAAGUCAGGGGUGAAAUCCUGGAGCUCAACUCCAGAACUGCCUUUGAUACUGGCGAGCUUGAGUUCGGGAGAGGUGAGUGGAACUGCGAGUGUAGAGGUGAAAUUCGUAGAUAUUCGCAAGAACACCAGUGGCGAAGGCGGCUCACUGGCCCGAUACUGACGCUGAGGUGCGAAAGCGUGGGGAGCAAACAGGG
rnacentral:rRNA from 1 species